GAUCCAGUAUGGCAUAGUGGUUUGAGCCUUGGACUACAGCUCUGGAGACCAGGGUUCAAUUCCUAGCUUGACCA